rnacentral:lncRNA from 1 species
CUGACAGGCAGGUGGACAGCAAAGGGUGCUACAAACAUAAGUGGUGACUGUGCAAGGUCUGCUGUUAAUGCUGCCCAUUGCUGCUGUUUGAUUAGUAGAAGCUUCUCUUUUGAAGGCUGCAAGGGGCCCUCUCUGCAGAACAGGAAGCUACAAGGAGCAGCAUAAGAUAGUUCUGUGUCUCUGCCUCAGAUUCAACAAAUAC